rnacentral:SRP_RNA from 1 species
GGCGUCUGUAUCAUGAUGAGCUUCUCCCAGGGAGCCUUAGAUUGGUGGCACUCUUGAGCUCAGGAGGGCCAAGCUAUAGCAGUGGCGGCCUCUGCUGCUUGAAUGUCUGCACUAAAUUCCGCAUUAAUAUGGCGAGUCCUCAAGAGAGGAGGGCCACCAGGUUGCCUAAGGAGAGUCCAACUGGCCCACGUCAGAAAAAGAACAGGUCAAAACUCCCAUGCUGAUCACUAAUGGGAUCAGGUGAGGUCCUUGCUAUUUGAGCUUGGGUGAGAUGGGGACAUCCAGUCUUU